AGGGAACGCUGGCGGUCUUCCUAACACAUGCAAGUCGAACGGCAGCACAGUAAGAGCUUGCUCUUACGGGUGGCGAGUGGCGGACGGGUGAGGAAUACAUCGGAAUCUACUUUUUCGUGGGGGAUAACGUAGGGAAACUUACGCUAAUACCGCAUACGACCUACGGGUGAAAGCAGGGGAUCUUCGGACCUUGCGCGAUUGAAUGAGCCGAUGUCGGAUUAGCUAGUUGGCGGGGUAAAGGCCCACCAAGGCGACGAUCCGUAGCUGGUCUGAGAGGAUGAUAAGCCACACUGGAACUGAGACACGGUCCAGACUCCUACGGGAGGCAGCAGUGGGGAAUAUUGGACAAUGGGCGCAAGCCUGAUCCAGCCAUACCGCGUGGGUGAAGAAGGCCUUCGGGUUGUAAAGAAAUUGGGUUGGGAAAGAAAAGCAGCAGGUUAAUACCCCGCUGUUCUGACGGUACCCAAAGAAUAAGCAAAGGCUAAAUUCGGG
rnacentral:rRNA from 1 species